rnacentral:rRNA from 1 species
CCUACGAGCGGCAGCAGUGGGGGAUAUUGCACAAUGGGGGAAACCCUGAUGCAGCGACGCCGCGUGGGCGAAGAAGUCUUUCGGUAUGUUAAGCUCUAUCAGCAGGGAAGUAGAACUGACCGUACCUGAGUAAGAAGCACCGGCUAAAUACGUGCCAACAGCCGCCGUCAUCCGUAGGGGGCCAGCGUUAGUCGGAUUUCCUGGGUGGAAAGGGAGCGCAGGCGGGAAGGUAAGCCUGAUGUGAAAGUCCGAGGCCCAACCGGAGGACUGCAUUGGGAACUAGCGGGCUGGAGUGCCGGAGAGGUAGGCGGAAUUCGUAGUGUAGCGGUGAAAGGCGUAGAUAUUAGGAGGAAAACCAGUGGCGAAGGCGGCCUACUGGACGGUGACUGACGCUGAGGCUCGAAAGCGUGGGGAGCAAACAGGAUUAGAUACCCUUGUAGUC